AUUGAACGCUGGCGGCAUGCCUUACACAUGCAAGUCGAACGGUAACGGGCCUUCGGGUGCCGACGAGUGGCGAACGGGUGAGUAAUACAUCGGAACGUGCCCGAUCGUGGGGGAUAACGAGGCGAAAGCUUUGCUAAUACCGCAUACGAUCUACGGAUGAAGGCAGGGGACCGCAAGGCCUUGCGCGGACGGAGCGGCCGAUGGCAGAUUAGGUAGUUGGUGGGAUAAAAGCUUACCAAGCCGACGAUCUGUAGCUGGUCUGAGAGGAUGAUCAGCCACACUGGGACUGAGACACGGCCCAGACUCCUACGGAAGGCAGCAGUGGGGAAUUUUGGACAAUGGGCGCAAGCCUGAUCCAGCCAUGCCGCGUGCAGGAUGAAGGCCUUCGGGUUGUAAACUGCUUUUGUACGGAACGAAAAGCCUUCUUUUAAUACAGGAGGGUCAUGACGGUACCGUAAGAAUAAGCACCGGCUAACUACGUG
rnacentral:rRNA from 1 species